rnacentral:rRNA from 1 species
UGAGGAAUAUUGGUCAAUGGGCGAGAGCCUGAACCAGCCAAGUAGCGUGCAGGAUGACAGCCCUAUGGGUUGUAAACUGCUUUUGUAUGGGGAUAAAGUCAGUCACGUGUGAUUGUUUGCAGGUACCAUACGAAUAAGGACCGGCUAAUUCCGUGCCAGCAGCCGCGGUAAUACGGAAGGUCCAGGCGUUAUCCGGAUUUAUUGGGUUUAAAGGGAGCGUAGGCCGGAGAUUAAGUGUGUUGUGAAAUGUAGACGCUCAACGUCUGACUUGCAGCGCAUACUGGUUUCCUUGAGUACGCACAACGUUGGCGGAAUUCGUCGUGUAGCGGUGAAAUGCUUAGAUAUGACGAAGAACUCCGAUUGCGAGGGCAGCUGACGGGAGCGCAACUGACGCUUAAGCUCGAAGGUGCGGGUAUCAAACA